rnacentral:rRNA from 1 species
AGUCGAACGGCAGCACGGAGAGCUUGCUCUCUGGUGGCGAGUGGCGAACGGGUGAGUAAUAUAUCGGAACGUGUCCAAUAAUGGGGGAUAACGAGUCGAAAGAUUCGCUAAUACCGCAUACGCCCUACGGGGGAAAGCAGGGGAUCGUAAGACCUUGCGUUAAUGGAGCGGCCGAUAUCUGAUUAGCUUGUUGGUGAGGUAAAGGCUCACCAAGGCGACGAUCAGUAGCUGGUUUGAGAGAACGACCAGCCACACUGGAACUGAGACACGGUCCAGACUCCUACGGGAGGCAGCAGUGGGGAAUUUUGGACAAUGGGGGCAACCCUGAUCCAGCCAUUCCGCGUGAGUGAAGAAGGCCUUCGGGUUGUAAAGCUCUUUCGCGAGGGAAGAAAACUUAUGAUCGAAUAAAUCAUGAGGUUGACGGUACCUUGAUAAGAAGCACCGGCUAACUACGUGCCAGCAGCCGCGGUAAUACGUAGGGUGCGAGCGUUAAUCGGAAUUACUGGGCGUAAAGCGUGCGCAGGCGGUUUUGUAAGUCGGAUGUGAAAUCCCCCGGGCUCAACCUGGGAACUGCGUUCGAAACUGCAAGGCUAGAGUGUGUCAGAGGGGGGUAGAAUUCCACGUGUAGCAGUGAAAUGCGUAGAGAUGUGGAGGAAUACCAAUGGCGAAAGGCAGCCCCCUGGGAUAACACUGACGCUCAUGCACGAAAGCGUGGGGAGCAAACAGGAUUAGAUACCCUGGUAGUCCACGCCCUAAACGAUGUCAACUAGUUGUUGGUAGAGUAAAAUCUAUGAGUAACGUAGCUA